rnacentral:lncRNA from 1 species
AUUUCAUACACACACACACCAACUGAAAACGGGAGAAGGAAGUAGAAAAAUCGGGAAAGAAAAAAAAGAAAGAGGGAAGGAAAAAAAGAAAAGAAAAGAAAAAGAAGGGAGGAGGAAAGAGAAGGAAAACAAGGAAAGGUAGGAUUUGUUAUUCAAACUUCACUCUUCAAUUUCUCUAAAUUCUCCAAGAGAUAUAAUAUAAUUUAUGCCUAAUUGUUAGGGUUUUGAUUUGUUGGUGUAAAGUUCAAAUUUAACAGAGAUGAGUACAAAAUUGAAGCUCUAGUUUCUUGAUUCUCUAAUUGCCAUUUACAUUAAGGUAAGAAAUACCAAUUUUUGGCAAAACUCUUGAAUUUUUAUUUGAGUUCUUGAAUAAGUAUAAUUAGUGAAAAUGAUUAUGGUGAUGAUAUAUUAACUUGAAAGAGUGGAUCUAUGGGAUAAGGUGUAAAUUAGAUUGGUGCAAGUGGGAAUUCAAGUUUCACUAGUUUAGAAUAAAGAGUUGUUUUUAUGUUUGGGAUGUAGGUAAUUAUGAUAAUUUAAAGAUUAGUUUAGGCUAGAAGGCAGAAUUUCUUUCAACUGUGAAGGAAACUAAAGAAUAUAUUCAAAGUGCCGAGAAGUCAAGUUCUAAUAUUUCAUAGUUUAAUGUUAAGAGAUACUUAGUAUGGGAGUUGUUAAAUUAAUUAUUUUACAUUAUAUUUCAGGUGAUAAUGUGAAAGCUUAACAAGGCUGGUCAAUUUGAUCAGAUUGCUAUCCAUAUAUCUAUGAGUGGAAAUAAAAAUUAUUUUUCAGAAAUAAGUAUUUAUUCAAUUUUUAAGUUACGCAUUUUAUAAGUUGAGUUGAUAGAAUGAUUUUUUAGAAUAAAACGAAUUUUAUCAUCAAAUGUUUUUAAAAGUUAAAUUCAAUUCAGUUAAAUUAUUUCAUUGACAUAUUAUUUCAGUAUUAAAUAUUUCAAUAUAUUUAAAGUUAUUAUUUAAAAACACUAGAAUGUACCAAAGUGAUUUUACCUUUAUCUGCACUAGUGUGAAUAUGUUUUCACAAUGUAUGACCAGUUAUGGUGAUUUUACCCGCUCUGUACUAUUGUGAAUGUGUUUCCAUAGUGUAUGACCAGAUUAUCAGAGGUCUUUGGGCCCCACUCUCGUACACACAUAGGUUUUGGGCCUUGUACUAGGGUGAUUAGCCUUUGGAGUAGCUCUGCGUACGUAGGACCAGAUUAUCAGAUCAUCAGAUUCUUAGAGUUGAAUGACUUUGCCUUAUACAUCGAGAUUACUCUGUACAUGAAUAAGACUAUUCAUUGGGUACCUUUUUGGUGUGAUUUUCCAGUAUUUCUACGCUUAUCAAAUUUCAGAUUAUAGAAUUCAGUCUAUUCAGUUCUCAGAAUAAAGCUUCUAGCUUAUAAUAUUGAGCAACAACAAUAUUUCAUAAAUUUUCAUGAAUACCAGAUUCUUUAUAUUUAUUAUACUUUAUAGUUACUUAUCUAGAAUUAAGAACAAAGAAUUUUAUGAUGCGAUCAUGCUUAGUAUAAAAAAUGCUACUAGUUUUCAGAUUUUUUCAAAGUUUUAAUAGAGUUAGCAUUUUCAGAAAAAAAUGCAUAAAUGAAAAAGUAUACUUAUUUUCAAUCUAUCAACUCACUGAGUUACAAGCUCAUAUUUUGUUACCCUUUUCUCUUACCAGAUAGUAGCUGAGUAGAGCAAUUUUGGAGCCUAUCGAACCAUCGAAUUGAGCCAUGCUUCAUAGAUUGUGUGACAUCAUUUAUUAGUUUAUACAUUAUGUGUUCUUUUGGGAUACAUGUAGUUUAAAUCAGAAAAGUUCAUUAUGGGCUUAUUAGAUAUUUGGUAUUUUUAGUAUAUUUGAAUAUUGUUGGUUGUAAAGCAAGUAAAUACUGGUUUGUCAACAUUUUAUUUAAAUAGUUUGUAUUUUGAGGGAUUGACGUACCUUGAUUUAUAUUAUAGAUACUGAUUUGAGGAAAAUUGGUAAUUGUUCAAGUGGUUUUAGUUCGUAUUUCAGGGAAAGCUCUGUCAAAAUUUUGUUAAAAAUAUUUUUCAGUCAAGCAAGUCAAUAUUACUUUGAUGGUGGGACCGACAUUCAGUUGGUAUCUACCAUCGGCAUACAACACGUGUCGAAUCCAUUCAGGUGAUUCGGAACGGGUCGUGACACCAAUCAUCAGGUUGUUUGAUUGAGAGCUCCGAUUUGUUCUUGCGACUUUUAAAUAUUGGUUUUGACGUCCUG